GAUCCUGGCUUAGGAUGAACGCUAGCGGCAGGCUUAACACAUGCAAGUCGAGGGGCAUCGGGAGUAGCAAUACUUGCCGGCGACCGGCGCAAGGGUGCGUAACGCGUGAGCAACAUGCCCGUAUCAGGGGGAUAAUCCAUGGAAACGUGGUCUAAUACCCCAUAGUAAUUAUGUAAGGCAUCUUAUAUAAUUUAAAGCUUUGGUGGAUACGGAUUGGCUCGCGUGACAUUAGCUAGAUGGUAAGGUAACGGCUUACCAUGGCUACGAUGUCUAGGGGUUCUGAGAGGAAGGUCCCCCCACACUGGAACUGAGACACGGUCCAGACUCCUACGGGAGGCAGCAGUGAGGAAUAUUGGACAAUGGAUGGAAAUCUGAUCCAGCCAUGCCGCGUGCAAGGAAGACGGCCCUAUGGGUUGUAAACUGCUUUUGUAUGGGAGCAAUAAGGGCUACGCGUAGUCCGAUGAGAGUACCAUACGAAUAAGCACCGGCUAACUCCGUGCCAGCCGCCGC
rnacentral:rRNA from 1 species